rnacentral:lncRNA from 10 species
CAAGGAGACAUUGAAGGGUGGGAGGAUUUGAAGAAGGGAAAAAAAGAGGUUGUCCUGAGGCUGGAGAGCUGAGCACAGUGUGGUGUUGACAGGGCCUGGCCUAACUGGAUGUCAACAGUGAAGUAGAGGGGCAUCAUGGGAUGUCAGGCUGGAAAGGGCAGUGCAGGUCCCACACAACAGGCAAAAGCUCUAGCUUUGGCCUGGAGGCAGCAGGGAGCUCCUGCAGUUCUAAACUGGGGUGGGUAGAACUCUUGUCCCCAGGUAUGUCCAUGGCUAGUCUCCCCAGGGCCUGGAUGGUGGGGGCAAACCCCUCUUUGGCUCCUUCCUGCAUAGCCACCCUUAGAAUUGCCUCUGCUUCUCAGGUCUUUGAGACUGGUACAGACUCAUCCAAAAAGCCAUCUUCUUCUCCUUGAGCUUCAUGCCCACUCUUGUGGUAAAAUCCAGCUGCAGGUACUUUUCAUCCUUGUUGUAGCGUGGCCAGCAGGGCAGAUUCCCAUCAUUGGGGUUUCUGCCCAGAAAUAAAAAAGAGAGGAUUACCUGUGUUCCUUUUCAUCCUGCUUCUUUCUUUCACCCUUCCCUCGUUUAAUUUGCCCUUGGGACUUGGGGUUCCAGAGGGCUUUACGGAGAUGAUACUUAGAACUUUAAUAAAGAGUAGGAAAGUGUGUAUUGGGGUGGGCCUUCCAGGCAGAGCAAACAGUAUGUGCCAGGUUGAGAGAUAUAAAAGACCAAGGCUUUUGGAGGAAGCACAAGUCAAGAGUUAGGUAAAAACAGAGUGUGUGUGUGGCCAGGCCUGGUGGCUCAUGCCUGUAAUCCCAGCACUUUGGGAGGCUGAGGUGGGCGGAUCACGAGGUCAGGAGAUCGAGACCAUCCUGGCUAACAUGGUGAAACCCUGUCUCUACUAAAUAUACAAAAAAAAAGCCGGGCGAGGUGGCGGGUGCCUGUAGUCCCAGCUACUCGGGAGGCUGAGGCAGGAGAAUAGCAUGAACCUGGGAGGUGGAGAUUGCAGUGAGCCGAGAUCGCGCCACUGCACUCCAGCCUGGGUGACAGAGCGAGACUGUCUCAAAAACAAACACAAAAACAAAAAAAAAAGAGAGUGUGUGAAAGGGAUCAAAGUGGAAAGGAGAUGACAUAGGAAAGAUUUUGAAAGGCCUUUCACGCAAGGUUGAGGAGCUGGGACUUUAUCUUGGAGGCAGAGAGAAGCCAUGAAGAGUUUUAAACAGGAGAGUGACUUGGUCAGAUGUUAUUUCAGAAAGACCCCUUGGGCUGGGUAUGGUGGCUAACACCUGUAAGACCAACACUUUGGGAGGCAUAGGUGAGAAAAUUGCUUGAGCCCGGGAGUUGGAGACCAGUCUGGGCAAAAUAGCAAGACUUCAUCUCUACAAAAAAUACAAAAAUUAGGCUAGGCGUGGUGGCUCACACCUGUAAUCCCAGCACUUUGGGAGCCCGAGGCGGGCAGAUCACAAGGUCAGGAGAUCGAGACCAUCCUGGCUAACAUGGUGAAACCUCGUCUCUACUAAAGAUACAAAAAAAUUAGCCAGGCAUGGUGGCAGGCACCUGUAGUCCCAGCUACUCGGUAGGCUGAGGCAGGAGAAUGGCAUAAACCCGGGAAGCAGAGCUUGCAGUGAGCUGAGAUUGCACCACUGCUCUCCAGCCUGGGUGACAGAGCGAGACUCUGUCUCAAAAAAAAAAAAAAAUUAGACGGGCAUGGUGGUAUGUGUCUGUAGUCCCAGCUACUUGGGAGGCUGAAGUGAGAGGACUGCUUGAGCCUGGGAGGUCAAGGCUGCAGUGAGCUGUGAUUGCACCACUACACUCUAGCCUGGGCAGCAGAGUGAGACCAUGUCUCAAAAAAAUUUAAAAAAAAAAAGAAGAAGAAAGACACUUUGAGUGUCAUAAGGAGGAUGAUUUGAAAGGAGAGAGGCCAGGCGCAGUGACUCAUGCCUGUAAUCCCAGCACUUUCAGAGGCCGAGGUGGGUGGAUAGCUUGAGGUUAGGAAUUCAAGACCAGCCUGGCCAACGUGAAACCCCACCUCUACAAAAAUACAAAAAUUAGCCAGGCGUGGUGGCCUGUAAUCCCAACUCCUCAGGAGGCCGAGGUGGGAGAAUCGCUUGAACCUGGGAGGCGGAGAUUGCAGUGAGCUGGGAUUGCGCCACUGCACUCCAGUCUGGGUGACAGAGCGAGACUUUAAGAAAAUAGUCACAAGGCUAGCCAAAGCUCUCUUUACAUGUCACCUGCCCCCUAGGCUGGGCCAGACACCUCCUCUAUGCUCUCAAAGUGCCUUGUGCUCCCCCAGUACAGCUCUCAGCGUACCAGAUUGUAAUUUCCUGAUUUUAUGUGGUGAGCUGCUGGAGGAUGGGGCUCAUGUCUGCAACAUCCUUGAAUUCCAGCUCCCAGUACUGGGGCUGGGCCCAAAAGAGUGCAGUGGUGAAUGACUGUGGAAUGCUUGAGUGAAUGAAGAGUGUGGGUCAUGGAUCAAGAAGGACACAUUCUAGAGACGUUUAGGAUCCGGUGACUGACUGAGGAAAGCUGAAGAAGAAGGGGCACCCUGUUUGGGCCGACUGGGCAGUUCCUGUAGGACAUGCUGGGGCAAAUAUCCGAAGCAGCUGGCUUCUUCAGGUCCAGCACUGGGCAGGUAGAAUGCCCAGAUGUGCUGGGGGGCAGACUCACCCUGUGCGGGCAAAGUUGGCCCAGUAUUUCAUCAUCUGGAGGCUAAGUGCCUUCUCCUUACCCAUGGAAAGGCCUGGGGGCAGAAUGGGAUGUGGGAUUUCGGACAGAGCAGGGGACACUGACCUCCCACCCUACUCCUGCUGCUU